GCUGCGAUGAAUUUGCUGUGUGGGAGGAGGGACGAGACCAGCGUUUGGAGGUAGAACUGAAACCUGAGUGCACUGAAUACAAAUCGGACUGAGAGAGCUUCAACUUCAGAAAACAUUCGAAGGGUUGUUUAAAAAGAAAAAGAAAAAAAAAAUGGGAAAGCUGAGGAUUUUCAGAUAAGCUAUUCCGACCUAACAAAACUUUGACGUUUACAAUUCUGGUUUACUUUAACACGGUGCUUAUUUUCUAUCUAUGCAAUGAGUGGGUUUCCAACAGUGUUGUGAUGAUAUGAUAAUAGCGGUUUGUUUUUAAACCACAA